rnacentral:rRNA from 1 species
CGUAGGGGGCAAGCGUUAUCCGGAUUUACUGGGUGUAAAGGGAGCGCAGACGGAACUGCAAGUCUGAUGUGAAAGCCCGGGGCUCAACCGCGGGACUGCAUCGGAUACUGUAGAUCUGGAGUGCCGGAGGGGCAAGCGGAAUUCCUGGUGUAGCGGUGAAAUGCGUAGAUAUCAGGAGGAAUACCGGCGGCGAAGGCGGCUUGCUGGACGGCAACUGACGUUGAGGCUCGAAAGCGUGGGGAGCAAACAGGAUUAGAUACCCU